rnacentral:rRNA from 1 species
GGGUAGUUUGACUGGGGCGGUCUCCUCCUAAAGAGUAACGGAGGAGCACGAAGGUUGGCUAAUCCUGGUCGGACAUCAGGAGGUUAGUGCAAUGGCAUAAGCCAGCUUGACUGCGAGCGUGACGGCGCGAGCAGGUGCGAAAGCAGGUCAUAGUGAUCCGGUGGUUCUGAAUGGAAGGGCCAUCGCUCAACGGAUAAAAGGUACUCCGGGGAUAACAGGCUGAUACCGCCCAAGAGUUCAUAUCGACGGCGGUGUUUGGCACCUCGAUGUCGGCUCAUCACAUCCUGGGGCUGAAGUAGGUCCCAAGGGUAUGGCUGUUCGCCAUUUAAAGUGGUACGCGAGCUGGGUUUAGAACGUCGUGAGACAGUUCGGUCCCUAUCUGCCGUGGGCGCUGGAGAACUGAGGGGGGCUGCUCCUAGUACGAGAGGACCGGAGUGGACGCAUCACUGGUGUUCGGGUUGUCAUGCCAAUGGCACUGCCCGGUAGCUAAAUGCGGAAGAGAUAAGUGCUGAAAGCAUCUAAGCACGAAACUUGCCCCGAGAUGAGUUCUCCCUGACUCCUUGAGAGUCCUGAAGGAACGUUGAAGACGACGACGUUGAUAGGCCGGGUGUGUAAGCGCAGCGAUGCGUUGAGCUAACCGGUACUAAUGAA